GUGAUAUAAGACAAUGAAGACUUUUAACUGAGUAGACAUAUAAUUGCUGAUUUUUAAAUUAAUUUUUAGGGAAAUAGGGGAUCAGUGGCAUUUGGCAAUUCAAGAAGCAAUUUUAGAAAAAUGCAGUGAUAAUGAUGGCAUCGUUCACAUUGCAGUAGACAAAAAUUCACAUGAGGUAAAAUAAUUUCUAGUAUUGAAUUCCAUGUUUUGGACUUAUUGCUAUUAAAUUAAGACUAUUUCUUUCUUUUUUUGUAUUACAAGGUUGUGUGUAUGUUAAAUGUUUGUCUCCAGAAUAUGCUGGAAAGGCUUUUAAGGCAUUACAUGGCUCUUGGUUUGAUGGGAAAUUGGUUACAGUAAAAUAUUUACGACUAGAUAGAUACCAUCAUCGUUUUCCCCAAGCUCUUACUUGCAACACUCCCUUGAAGCCAUCACAUAAACAUAUGAACUCUAGGUCUCAUCUUUGGCUUCGGACUGGCCUAGCCAAUUCUCAAGGAAGUUCCUGAAAAGACGUUCUUCACUCCUAGAACAAUAGGAAAAUUCCAGUUUGGCUUCCUGUCUUCCUUUCUAAAUGCUUUUUGUAUGUAAUAUUUUUAUUGCUGAAUACAGCUCUGUUUGAAAGUUCCAGAAAUCUUAAGGUUCCAAAGGGAUUUAACAGUGAGGCAGCAAUACUAAGUAGGUAGAAUAAUUAUUUCAUUCAGUUUUUGAAGCUCAGUUAAGCCAAUGCAUUUAAAGUUUUGCAUGAGGAUCCUUGACUUUAUACACAUUUUCAGAUGUAGUGGUUAUAUUUUUGCACCAAGAAGUGCUUGGAUAACCACACAAAAGCAUGGUGAAGAGACUUCCUGUAUUUCCAUAAUUUCUUGU
rnacentral:lncRNA from 1 species